rnacentral:tRNA from 2 species
GUCAAGAUGGCCGAGUGGUUAAGGCGCUGCACUCAAGAAACUCUCUUGCCUGGUUACCUGGGUUUGCAGUAUCGAAAGAUGCCUGGGUUCGAGUCCCAGUCUUGACA